rnacentral:rRNA from 1 species
GAGUUCUCCCUGAGACUUAAAGUCGAGUUCUCCCUGAGACUUAAAGUCUCCUGAAGGAACGUUGAAGACGACGACGUUGAUAGGCCGGGUGUGUAAGCGCAGCGAUGCGUUGAGCUAACCGGUACUAAUGAACCGUGAGGCUUAACCUU